rnacentral:rRNA from 1 species
UUUUGGACAAUGGGGGCAACCCUGAUCCAGCAAUGCCGCGUGAGUGAAGAAGGCCUUCGGGUUGUAAAGUCCUUUCGGCGGGGAAGAUAAUGACGGUACCCGCAGAAGAAGCCCCGGCUAACUUCGUGCCAGCAGCCGCGGUAAUACGAAGGGGGCUAGCGUUGCUCGGAAUCACUGGGCGUAAAGCGCACGUAGGCGGACUCUUAAGUCGGUGGUGAAAUCCUGGAGCUCAACUCCAGAACUGCCUUCGAUACUGAGAGUCUCGAGUCCGGGAGAGGUGAGUGGAACUGCGAGUGUAGAGGUGAAGUUCGUAGAUAUUCGCAAGAACACCAGUGGCGAAGGCGGCUCACGGCCCGGUACUGACGCUGAGGUGCGAA